rnacentral:tRNA from 2 species
GGGUGGUUAGCUCAGUGGUAGAGCGUUGCAUUCACAUUGCAAAUGCCACAGGUUCAAGCCCUGUACCACCCA